UCUCGAUUCGUCUAGUGGUUAGGAUACCUGCUUGUCAAUACCCUUCAAGGGUUGAAUUCGCAGGUGGCCGGGGUUCAAUUCCCCGAUCGAGAG